CUUGGUCAUUUAGAGGAAGUAAAAGUCGUAACAAGGUUUCCGUAGGUGAACCUGCGGAAGGAUCAUUAAUGAAUAAACUUGGUCAAGCUGUUGCUGGUCCUACGGGACAUGUGCACGUUUGCCACCAAUUUUAACCACCUGUGCACCUUUUGUAGACUAGAAAAUUUUCUCGAGGCAACUCGGAUUGUGAACUGCUGUGCGCAAGCCGGCUGUUCUUGAGUUUCUCAGUCUAUGUUUUAUAUACUCCAAAUGUAUGUAUUAGAAUGUAUUGCUAGGCCUUAGUGCCUUUAAAUCAAAUACAACUUUCAACAACGGAUCUCUUGGCUCUCGCAUCGAUGAAGAACGCAGCGAAAUGCGAUAAGUAAUGUGAAUUGCAGAAUUCAGUGAAUCAUCGAAUCUUUGAACGCACCUUGCGCUCCUUGGUAUUCCGAGGAGCAUGCCUGUUUGAGUGUCAUUAAAUUCUCAACUAUACAAGUUUUUUUAAACCUGUAUAGCUUGGAUCUUGGGAUUUGCAGGCUUUUACAAGUCAGCUAUCCUUAAAUGCAUUAGCAGAGCUUUUGCCGCUAACCUUUGGUGUGAUAAUUAUCUAUGCCAUUGAGUUACGACAUAUUGGAGCUCAGCUUCUAAUCGUCCGCAAGGACAAUACUUGACAAUCUGACCUCAAAUCAGGUAGGAUUACCCGCUGAACUUAAGCAUAUCAAUAAGCGGAGGA
rnacentral:rRNA from 1 species